CUGAACGUGUCCGGAUGCCCGUAGCUCCCUUCAUCCGCGCGCAGUAGCAGCAGCCAGGAGCCCGAGCUCCUCGUCGGCCUCGACGAAUCUCAUCCGCGUCCAAGCCAUGUAGGUCAACAACAGCAGUAGCACCACGAGGUCAUGUCCGCGCCCCUGUUUUCCUCCUACCCUCCGUAUCCUCUUCUCGGGUCUCUCUCUCCCUCAUUUUAUUUCUCUCUCUGUCUUGCAGCAGCAGCACCUGCAGGAGCUGGAGCCCGUCCAUGGCUCCCUCAACCUCAGGGCCUCUGAAGUCGUCCACACCUCGCCGGAUCUGGCUAUGCCCCGUCCGGAUCCGGCGAGUCCAAGGCCUCCGCUUCCCUCUGGGACCUCGCCCCUCUCCCUCCUGUAUAUCGUUCUCUCUCUCUCAUGCUUUGUUCUUCGUCUCUCUGCAGGGACUAACCGCUCCGCCACGAGCGCUAGAUCCGCUGGNNNNNNNNNNNNNNNNNNNNNNNNNNNNNNNNNNNNNNNNNNNNNNNNNNNNNNNNNNNNNNNNNNNNNNNNNNNNNNNNNNNNNNNNNNNNNNNNNNNNUGCUUAACCCAUUGUUAGCGUUGCUAGUUGCAGGUGCAGUUGCUUCCAUGUGAAAGCAUGGGUUCCUUGUUAUAUCACCACAUUAAAUGCUAUUUAAUUUAAUGCACCUAUAUACUUGGUAAAAGGUGGAAGGCUCGGCCCUUCUAGCCUGGUGUUUUGUUCCACCUUUAACACCUUAGUUUCCGGCUACCGGUGUUAUGUUCCAUAAUUGAGCGCUCCUAACACGAUCGGGUUUGUUAUGGGGACCCCCUUGAUAAUUCGUUUUAGAUUAAAUCUGGUACUACAUUUGCCUAAUCACCUAAUAAAUUGCAUAGGGACUUUCCGGACCCCGAGGAUAAUUUAAUCAACCCCCGGGCUAGUGCUCCUCAUGAGUGUUGGUACAAAACAGAGCAGCUUAUUAACGCUACCCGGGGCAACUCGGUGUUUGGUGUGGUAACCAUCGCUCAUCCAUCGUGUCCUGAGAACGAGGUACGCGACUCCUAUCGGGAUCGUCGACACGUCGGGCGGCCUUGCUGGAUUAGUUUUACCUUUGAUGAGAUAUCUUGUGCAUCGGGAUUCCGGUGAUGCUUUGGGUAAUAUCAGAGUUGAGGUUUUCCACUAGGGAAUCCGACGAGAUCGCGAGCUUCGUGAUUGAGGAUUUCUAUGCGGCUUGUGGUAAUUUGUGAUGGACUAGUUGGAGCACCCCUGCAGGGUUAAAUCUUUUCGGAAAGCCGUGCCCGUGGUUAUGUGGCAACGUGGAAGCUUUGUUUAACACUGGUUCUAGAUAACUUGAAGUUGACUUAAUUAAAAUAUGCCAACUGCGUGCGUAACCGUGACUGUCUCUUUCGUGAGUUCCUUCUCCGAUCGAGGACACGGUGGGGUUAUGUCUGACGUAAGUAGGUGUUCAGGAUCAUUCAUUUGAUCAUCAGUAGUUCACGUCCGUUAUGCGUAGAUCUUCCCCCUCUUGUUUCUUGUACUCGUAAGAUAGCCACCAAAUAUAUGCUUAGCCGCUGCUGCAACCUCACCACUUAACCAUACCUCACCCAUUAAGCUUUGCUAGUCUUGAUACCUUUGGAAAUGAGAUUGCUGAGUCCCCUGUGGCUCAUAGAUUACUACAACAGCAGUUGCAGGUACAUAUAAAGGUUACUUGACGCGAGCGCGUUGAUUGUUCAUUUGGAGUUGCUUCUUCUUCUUCAUUGAUCUAGGAUGGGUUCCAGGCCGGCAGCCUCAGAUAGCAAGGAUGGACGUCGUUCUUAUUUUCUCGUUUGUUUUCGUCCGUAGUUGGAACAUGCUCUUACCCUUGAUGAUUAUGUAAUGUACUGAUGUGACUCUGAUGUAGCUUGUGGCGAGUGUAAGCCAACUCUGUAUAUAUACCUCUUCUUUUCAGUACAUGUACUUGUGACGAUAUCCAUUCUUGCGACACGACAAGAUGCGCUUCUAUCCCUGACAAGGCCUUCGUGUCAAAUUGAGGAUAGGGUCGCAUCUUGGGCGUGACAAGUUGGUAUCAGAGCCGUACCGACCUAGGAGCCCCCUUGAUUGAUCGAACUUGGCCGAGUCGAGUCUAGUAAAAAUACUUUGAGUCUAGUUAUAUAUCGGAGAGUAGGAUUCUUUUUUCUCCUCUUCUAUGCUCUGGUGAGGAAUCUUGACGUAAUAAUUUACUCUACUCCUCUUCCCACUCAAUUUUUUUUAGGAUCACGCGGAUAUUUUUGGAAUCUAUAUGACGCCGAUGUGACGGAGUUCUGUCUUGGUGCCUCCUGUCUGACUUGAUUUUCUUCCGGGUAGUUGAGCUCCAGGGGAUUCUUGAGCACAUCGUUAUCAUUCAGGUUUCUGAGUAUCUAAGAACGAAGGAUGUUCGUAAUUGCUUCAAUACUAGUAGUGGCGAGAUAACCCCGAUGUCCCCAGUACUGGUGCAGAUUGUUCGGGAGUACUGCCAUACUUUGUAUCGUUGUGAUCACGAGGGUCUGUUGUAGAUGAAGGUCCGAGAUUCUAGUUGUGUGUUGACGGAUGUGAUACAAGUGACGGGUUAGUAUAAGAGUUGUGUGAAUAUUACUCCUUGUAUCCGUGUACCAGAUUGCAUGACGAGAUAUUUCGGGAAUUCUUAGGUGGGAAUUCAAGUAGUUUCUUAUAGGACAAUCUUCCAACAAAUGCAUGAUGUUAGGUUGGGGUUCGACAUCUAGUGGAUUCGUUUGUUCAUGGUCGACUUACAGCGGUACACGUUGUGUCUUAAAGAGUCCUUGUAGCUUGCUACGACUCGGGGACGCUUCGUAUGUCGGGUGCACUGCCUUGCACUUGAUGGCUAUUGUAAAAAUCGAGCCCGUGCGAUCCUGUCCACGAAAAUAUCGAACGAAAUCUUUCUCAUGCGUUUGUUCUGGCUAAUUGCAAGCCUCACCCUUUGUUUUGUUGGAAUAUGGUAAUUCAAGUUGCUUCGAUGUCAAGUGGUGAUUUCAGAUCUUUCCAAGAGGUGUUCUCAUAAUUUUUAUGUGAACACAAUUCUUUGCUCAAUCAGAUCGUCUUAUCAAUUAUUGUCAACCGGAGUGGUCAUUUCAAUUCCAUUCAACUGGUGUGCUUCUCUUCAGUGAAUUCAAUCCUCUCUAAUUUUGCAAGAUCGUUCUCUCAUUUCAUCCAGAGUUCAUCUAUCUGUCCCAAGUCGUCUUUGUUUUUCCCCGCCCUCCCGCCCUUUUUCUUCGAUGAUUGGAUUUCACCCAAGCGCAUUCAUUUCAUUGUGCUUCAGCUAUCUUUUAUUCCGUGUCCUAUCCGGUGAUUCAUCGUGAAGAUUCUCAGGAGCUUCAUUUUCAUCUUUAUUCAUUCAUGUUUCUUUAUUCAUAUUUCAAUAGUUUCUUGUUUUCAGUUCUUUUAAUUAUUUCGAGGUGCUAACCUCAUCUAGUUCUCUUAUACCGGUGCAAUAUCUCUCUUCUAAGCAAUCUUUUCUAACGGUGGUUUCUUUGAGUGGGCCCAUAACCCACAGGUUUUCCCAGGAUCUUGUCUGGCUCUUUUAAUCAUCCAGAGAUUUUUAAUUCUUUUCAACUAUGACGUAAGUAUGAUUUUCCUCAGUCAUAUUCAUUCUUCAAGAUCAACUGGAGUUAAUUCUCAUAUUUGGCUCAAUCUUGCAUUCUUCUUUAUUCCGGAGGUCUCAACAAUUCUUGGUGUUGUUCCUCGUCAUCAUUCUUAGCUUGCAAAUUCGAAGGAGUGUUUCUCUCAGUCUUUUUCCAUUCUUGUGAAGAUUGUCAUUUUAGCUUGGUGCCAUCAUCUUAGUUGUUCCAAUCAUGAGUAACCCUUUCUUGCUAUCCGGUGCAUUUCUGAGUUUUUUUAUUUCUCGUUCCUCCGAAGGCCAUCAUUUUAGAAGAUUCUUCGUUCUCAGCUUUCAGCUUUCAUCCUCAAUUCUUCUCCAUUGUUAUCUCUUCAUUCGUCUCUCGAUUAUCCGGUGCCUUGUUCAAGUUUUCUCUCAGGUGGCUCAUGAUCUCUUCAUUCUCUUGUAUCUCCAUUAAUUCGUGGUGUUCCCAUUUAUUUGUGAAUUCUUACCGGUGCGUCCUUCAUUCAUGCCUCAAGUGAUGCUUAUCUCUCCCCUCAAUAAUUUCUAGAAGAAUAAGUUGUAUGCUAAAUCCGUUGCUGGUCAUCAAUUAAACUUGAUGAAGGAAUAGCAUAACAUAAUUCUUAUUCUUGUUUCAUCAAAUGAUUUCAAUCUUUCUUUCGGAGUGGCUCAUGAUAUCAAUUCCUUGUUCUCAAGUGUUCUUCUCUUUUCUUUUCCGGAGUCCAAAGUUUUCUCAAGUAUCUCUUCGUGAAGCUUCAUCGAAGUCUUGCAAGGCUUCAAUCUUAUUCUUUCAUCCUUCUCAUCUUUGCAUAAGCCUUUUCAUACGGAGGCUUGUCAUGGUGAUUCUUCAAGGGUGUGGUUUUUCUCAAGUGUUCUUCAAGAUUCUUGUUGGAGAGCCUCAAGUAUCCUUUCUCUUGCAUUUCUAUGCGCAAUUGUCUUCCUUUAUUCUUUGAGGUGGUAUUAUAGCAUUCUUGUUAGUGUAGGAGCCUCAAAGAGUUUUCCUCUCAAGUAUGAGAUAAUUAAACCCACCAAUUCUAUGAUCAUGAGAUAUUUCAACCCAUGAUUUCUUCAUUGAGCUAUCUUGGUUUGAAUUUCACCUAAAGCUUUUCCUAUGGAUUGUUGCUAUCAUGGUGCUUGUCAUUAAUCCAAGUUCUCAAUGUAUCCUCUUGGUGUAAGAAAUUGUUCAUAUCUUGUUUCUCCCAAUCAAUCCUUGUUUCUUUUAGUUGUUGGCUGUCACCUCAUAUAUGUUGUGAUGAUUUCCAUAAGCCCACUACUAUCUUGUUCUUUUCGUUGUUGUUUGUCCAACAACUCCGUCCAAUUCUUCUCGCAAGGAUGCUUGUCAAGUUCAUUGGAGUUAGUAGUUGUCAUUCUCUUCUUCCGUAUGAGCUAGUUCCUAUUCUAUUGUUCCGGAGGCAUUGUGAUGUUGCUCUUUUGGGUCAAUCGUGUUGUUCUAUCAAGAUCAUGGUGUUCCCUUGCUCUAUUUACUUGUUUGUUGUGAAUAUUGUCUAAUUCUACCAUCUUAUCGAAAUUUUUGUCCCUUUUUCCUACCGAAGUGCUGCCGAAAUUUUCCGUGAAUUCUUGCUUCUUUCCCAUAUCAUUCCUCAUCACCUUGCAACUUUCAAGGUUCAUUGGUUUCACUCGUUUGUCAAAGAAGCGACUAAGUUUUUUACUUCUUGUUCUUUCUCAUCCUCUCCCCCUUUCAUUCUUGGAUCUCGGGGCGAGAUCCUCUUGUAGUGUAGGAGAGUUGUGACAGCCCGAGACCGACGUUCCAGAAGAUUCCCCUUUUCUUUCUGUUUUCGUCCUGUGUCUACUUUUAUUUGUCGCAUCAUCAUCGCAUCAUGCACAUCAUCUGCAUUGCAUCGGCAUCUCCGUUGCCGCCAGUUUUCAAAACUUGCAUCCGUUGUUAGUUGCCGGUUCACGUCGUUGUUCGUUUUGAGCCCGACCGCACGCGCCCGUGGCAUCGUCGAAACCUUGUUUUACAAGUGUGCGUAAAACUUUCUCUGUUUGAGUCGAUAUUUGACGUGCGGUCGAAUUGUAAUAUAGGCAGGCCGCGUGUCAAAUUUCGUCGCGAUCGGAGUCCGUCUGGUACCCGAACGGUGGACCGUAGCGGCACCGUAUUCGGUCUAUCGUCGGACGUCUGUCGAUGUUUUUAAAUACGUUGCCGGGUCGCCCGUUUUCCCACUCAUCUUUGUCUAGCCCCUCUACACAGUGCGUCGACCCUAGCGCAACCUAGUCCAAAAACCUCCCGGAACCCGAACCGGCAGUCGUAAUCGUUGGGUCCGGAUCAACCCCAUUUUACCGCAAACCGUCAUCGGUUUUAUAAUUAGAUACCCUAACUUAUUUUUUUCCUCGACCGUCCGAUCAAAUCGGAGGGUCCGGAUCAGCCUUAUCCAAAUCCACCUAUUUAUUUAAGCAGUCAAACCCUAGUCCUACCCCGUGUCCCAUCCACCCAUUCCCUCGUAGCCGCCACCCGACCAACCUCCUCCUUCCUCGGGAUCCCCAAGAUCCAGUUCGCGUCCAACCCCUCACUAGCCGUUGAGCCAACCUCCUCCCUUGCCUCCUGAACGUGUCCGGAUGCCCGUAGCUCCCUUCGUCCGUGCGUAGUAGCAGCAGCCAGGAGCCCGAGCUCCUCGUCGGCCUCGACGAAUCUCAUCCGCAUCCAAGCCAUGUAGGUCAACAACAUCAGUAGCACCACGAGGUCAUGUCCGCGCCCCUGUUUUCCUCCUACCCUCCGUAUCCUCUUCUCAGGUCUCUCUCUCCCUCAUUUCAUUUCUCUCUCUGUCUUGCAGCAGCAGCACCU
rnacentral:lncRNA from 1 species